GGUGGUUACAGCUCAGGUGGAGGCGGCGGCGGCGGCGGUGGUAACUUCAGUAAUGCCUCAAGUGGUGGUAAUCAACGGCGGUUCUAAUCCAAUCUCUUGUACCAAGUUGCGCUUAGAUGAGAUUAGGCAGGAGGUUAGAGUAGGACAGCACUAGUGAGGGCCGAGAGGAAACCACUACAUAGGUUAGGUUACACAAUUACCCUAUAAAGGUAAUGUGAGGAAUCCUAUUUCUGAUCACAGUUUUUACAUUAUAUUCACAGAACACUGUCCAAUUAUUAUUAAGUUUGACAUGAAGUCGUUAUUUUCUUUGUGAAAACUGUGCAUAUGUUCCUAGGUAGUAAGAAAAUGAUAUUUAUACACUUUUACAUAGAUACUCUGACAUUCCAGAUUG